CUCCAGGAAGCAGCUCCCCUGUCCUCCGCGCAAUGCGCUCCACACAGCAUCGCGCGGGAGGACAGGGGAGCUGCUUCCUGGAG